GACAGAGGUGCCAAGCGUUAGGCGGAAUCACUGGGCUUAAAGCGUGUGUAGGCGGAAUGGUAAGUACCUUGUGAAAUCCCACGGCUCAACCGUGGAACUGCUUGGUAUACUGCUUUUCUUGAGCCACUUAGGGGCUGUCGGAACAAACGGUGGAGCGGUGAAAUGCGUAGAUAUCGUUUGGAACGCCAAUGGUGAAAACAGGUAGCUGGGGCUGUGCUGACGCUGAGACACGAAAGCCAGGGGAGCGAACGGG
rnacentral:rRNA from 1 species